CAUGCCGCGUGUGUGAAGAAGGUCUUCGGAUUGUAAAGCACUUUAAGUUGGGAGGAAGGGCGGUAAGCUAAUACCUUGCUGUUUUGACGUUACCGACAGAAUAAGCACCGGCUAACUUCGUGCCAGCAGCCGCGGUAAU
rnacentral:rRNA from 1 species